UAUUUAUUAGAUAACAGACCAAUAUUCCUCGUGUCUAUUGUGGUGACUCAUAGUAACUGAUCGGAUCGCAUGGCCUUGUGCCGCGACUAACCAUUCAAGUUUCUGACCCAUCAGCUUUCGAUGGUAGUGUAUUGGACUACCAUGGCUUUCACGGGUAACGGAGGAUUAGGGUUCGAUUCCGGAGAGGGAGCCUGAGAAACGGCUACCACAUCUAAGGAAGGCAGCAGGCGCGUAAAUUACCCAAUCCUGACUCAGGGAGGUAGUGACAAGAAAUAACGGGUCGGGGCAUUCGCCUCGGGAUUGCAAUGAAUCGAAUUUACACCCCUUAAUGAGGAUCAAUUGGAGGGCAAGUCUGGUGCCAGCAGCCGCGGUAAUUCCAGCUCCAAUAGCGUAUAUUAAAGUUGUUGCAGUUAAAAAGCUCGUAGUUUGAUUUCUGGACGGGCGCCAACACCCGCUUGUUUAGUGUGGAGGCGGCGCCCGCCCAUCCUUCUGUUAACGCCACCGGCAUUCAUUUGCUGGCGGCGGGCUCAGAUAUUUUACCUUGAGAAAAUUAGAGUGUUUCAGGCAGGCUUGCGC
rnacentral:rRNA from 1 species